CCUACGGGAGGCAGCAGUAGGGAAUCUUCCACAAUGGGCGAAAGCCUGAUGGAGCAACGCCGCGUGGGUGAAGAAGGUCUUCGGAUCGUAAAACCCUGUUGUUAGAGAAGAAAAUGCGUGAGAGUAACUGUUCACGUUUCGACGGUAUCUAGCCAGAAAGCCACGGCUAACUACGUGCCAGCAGCCGCGGUAAUACGUAGGUGGCAAGCGUUAUCCGGAUUUAUUGGGCGUAAAGGGAACGCAGGCGGUCUUGUAAGUCUGAUGUGAAAGCCUUCGGCUUAACCGGAGUAGUGCAUUGGAAACUGGGAGACGUGAGUGCAGAAGAGGAGAGUGGAAUUCAAUGUGUAGCGGUGAAAUGCGUAGAUAUAUGGAAGAACACCAGUGGCGAAAGCGGCUCUCUGGUCUGUAACUGACGCUGAGGUUCGAAAGCGUGGGUAGCAAACAGGAUUAGAUACCCCUGUAGUC
rnacentral:rRNA from 1 species